GCAAACUUGGUCAUUUAGAGGAAGUAAAAGUCGUAACAAGGUUUCCGUAGGUGAACCUGCGGAAGGAUCAUUACCGAGUAUCGGUGCCCUCUGGGCGCCUACUCCCACCCUAUGUGUACCGUACCUUUGUUGCUUUGGCGGGCCAGGCGCCCCGUCGCCGCCGGCCCAGGCUGGAGAGCGCCCGCCGGAGAACUUUUAAAAUUCUGCUCACGGUGGCAUCAGAGUCUAUGAAAAUGAAUCAAAACUUUCAACAACGGAUCUCUUGGUUCUGGCAUCGAUGAAGAACGCAGC
rnacentral:misc_RNA from 1 species